rnacentral:rRNA from 1 species
CGAACGCUGGCGGCGCGUCUUAAGCAUGCAAGUCGAACGGUAAGAAGGAGCUUGCUUCUUCCUAGAGUGGCGGACUGGUGAGUAACGCGUGGAUGACGUACCCUUUUGACGGGGAUAGCCGAUAGAAAUAUCGGAUAAUACCGGAUAAUCUCUUUUGGGGUAAAGACGAAAGAGGAAAGCGGCUUCGGCCGCGCAGAAGGAACGGUCCGCGUCCUAUCAGCUAGUCGGCAGGGUAAAGGCCUGCCGAGGCGACGACGGGUAUCCGGCCUGAGAGGGUGGACGGACACAUUGGGACUGAGAUACGGCCCAGACUCCUACGGGGAGGCAGCAGCUAAGAAUAUUCCGCAAUGGACGAAAGUCUGACGGAGCAACGCCGCGUGGAUGAUGAAGGCCGGAAGGUUGUAAAGUCCUUUUAUCCGUGAAGAAGAAGAUUAAGAGGGAAUGCUUAAUUGGUGACGGUAGCGGAUGAAUAAGCACCGGCUAAUUACGUGCCAGCAGCCGCGGUAACACGUAAGGUGCAAGCGUUGUUCGGAAUUAUUGGGCGUAAAGGGCAUGCAGGCGGUCGUGCAAGCCCGGCGUGAAAGACGGGGGCUCAACUCCCGAAGUGCGCUGGGAACUGCAAGGCUUGAGUUUCUGAGGGGCAGCCGGAAUUCCACGUGUAGGGGUGAAAUCUGUAGAUAUGUGGAAGAACACCAAUGGCGAAGGCAGGUUGCUAGCAGAAGACUGACGCUGAGGUGCGAAGGUGCGGGGAGCGAACAGGAUUAGAUACCCUGGUAGUCCGCACAGUCAACGAUGUGCACUAGAUGUCUGUCCAUGAGGAUGGGUGUCAAAGCAAACGCGAUAAGUGCACCGCCUGGGGAGUAUGCCCGCAAGGGUGAAACUCAAAGGAAUUGACGGGGGCCCGCACAAGCGGUGGAGCAUGUGGUUUAGUUCGAUGGUACGCGAGGGAACCUACCUGGGUCUGACAUACACAGGGAUGAUGUCGAGAUAUGUAAGCGCAGCAAUGCGCCUGUGAACUGGCGCUGCAUGGGCUGUCGUCAGCUCGUGCCGUGAGGUGUUUGGGUUAGUUCCAGCGACG